GACGAACGCUGGCGGCGUGCUUAACACAUGCAAGUCGAACGGAAAGGCCCCUUUGGGGGUACUCGAGUGGCGAACGGGUGAGUAACACGUGGGUAACCUGCCCUUGACUUCGGGAUAACUUCAGGAAACUGGGGCUAAUACCGGAUAGGAAUCCUUGCUGCAUGGUGGGGGUUGGAAAGCUUCGGCGGUUUUGGAUGGACUCGCGGCUUAUCAGCUUGUUGGUGGGGUAGUGGCUUACCAAGGCUUUGACGGGUAGCCGGCCUGAGAGGGCGACCGGCCACAUUGGGACUGAGAUACGGCCCAGACUCCUACGGGAGGCAGCAGUGGGGAAUAUUGCACAAUGGGCGGAAGCCUGAUGCAGCAACGCCGCGUGCGGGAUGACGGCCUUCGGGUUGUAAACCGCUUUCAGCAGGGGCGAAGCUUGUGGUGACGGUACCUGCAGAAGAAGCACCGGCUAACUACGU
rnacentral:rRNA from 1 species